UGCCCGGCAACUCCUAUCCCUACCUUCUCGUGGUACCGGCCGGAAAGUAUGAGCAACCUUAGGGAAGAUCGGGUUACCAACCCCGGUGGGAACUUUGGUCGUAGGCUGACAGGGAAGG
rfam:Aedes albopictus isolate Foshan contig116319, whole genome shotgun sequence.